GGCGGUGUGCCCGAGUGGCCAAAGGGAGCAGACUGUAAAUCUGCCGGCUCAGCCUUCCCAGGUUCGAAUCCUGGCGCCGCCA
rnacentral:tRNA from 17 species